rnacentral:lncRNA from 1 species
CAUCUUUGUUCAAUUGAUUUUCCAAAAAAGUGCCAAGACCAUUCAAGAGGAAAAAAAUGUCUCUUCAACAAAUAAUGCAAGGACAAGUGUGUUUCUGAAAACAAAAGAAUAAGUUGAACUGCUUUUAUGUCAUACCAUGUACAAAAAAUAACUCAAAAUAGAUCAAAGGCCUAAAUAUAAGAGUGGGAACCAUGAAACUAUUCAUGGGGAUAAAGAGGAAAACAUGGGGAGAAAUCAUCAUGAAUAUCUAUUUGGCCAUAAAAUCUGAGCUGUGACACCAAAAGCAUUAACAACAAGAGAAAAAUUUGACUUUAUCAAAAUUAACUUUAAAAAUUUUGUUUCACAAGCAAGAAAAUAAAAAUUGACUUUAUCAAAAUUAACAAGUUUUUGUUUUCCACUCCAGAACAUGGAAAAUAAUCUUAAUGAGUCACAAGAAACCUAGGAUUGAAGCAACUCAUAAUAUCAUAAAAGAAGGCAUUUUCCACCCUAUUGAAUUCAAGCAUGGCUUUGCAACUUAUUUUGACCAAGAAAUUGUGUGCAGAAAUAACUUAGGAUUUCUGUGGGGAUUCUUUGGGGCCUACUUUUCCAGUCGAACCCUGACGGCCAACAAAGAUGUCACCAAUGGAGAGUGUUCCAUUAGCUUGCAACCUGAUGAGAGGAUCUACAAUUAAAAAACAAACGAAGAAGCAAACAAAAACUCUGGAUCACACUAAGUUUGAGCUAUUCCUUCUUAAACAUUUCUGGAAGAAUUUGUCACCUCAAUUUACCAACUCACUAAUUUUCACUUUGCCAGUAGCUCAUGAGAAUUUUAAUUAAAAAAUGAGCUUUGGAUAGCAGAUGUAAGGUAAGCUGACAUAAUGUAAUUUGUAUUGUUA